rnacentral:rRNA from 1 species
GAUGAACGCUGGCGGCGUGCUUAACACAUGCAAGUCGAACGGAAAGGCCCAAGCUUGCUUGGGUACUCGAGUGGCGAACGGGUGAGUAACACGUGGGUGAUCUGCCCUGCACUUCGGGAUAAGCCUGGGAAACUGGGUCUAAUACCGGAUAGGACCACAUUUUGGAUGGUGUGGUGGAAAGUUUUUCGGUGUGGGAUGAGCUCGCGGCCUAUCAGCUUGUUGGUGGGGUAAUGGCCUACCAAGGCGUCGACGGGUAGCCGGCCUGAGAGGGUGUACGGCCACAUUGGGACUGAGAUACGGCCCAGACUCCUACGGGAGGCAGCAGUGGGGAAUAUUGCACAAUGGGCGCAAGCCUGAUGCAGCGACGCCGCGUGGGGGAUGACGGCCUUCGGGUUGUAAACUCCUUUCGCUAGGGACGAAGCGUUUUUAUGACGGUACCUGGAGAAGAAGCACCGGCUAACUACGUG